rnacentral:tRNA from 1 species
UCCGAUAUGGUGUAGUGGCUAACAUUAUCGCCUCUCAUUCACAUGAACGCGAUAGCCCGGGGUUCAAUUCCCCGUGUCGGAA